AUUGAACGCUGGCGGCAUGCCUUACACAUGCAAGUCGAACGGCAGCACGGGAGCAAUCCUGGUGGCGAGUGGCGAACGGGUGAGUAAUAUAUCGGAACGUGCCCAGUCGUGGGGGAUAACGCAGCGAAAGCUGUGCUAAUACCGCAUACGAUCUAAGGAUGAAAGCGGGGGAUCGCAAGACCUCGCGCGAUUGGAGCGGCCGAUAUCAGAUUAGCUAGUUGGUGGGGUAAAGGCCCACCAAGGCGACGAGCUGUGGCUGGUCUGAGAGGACGACCAGCCACACUGGAACUGAGACACGGUCCAGACUCCUACGGGAGGCAGCAGUGGGGAAUUUUGGACAAUGGGCGCAAGCCUGAUCCAGCAAUGCCGCGUGCAGGAUGAAGGCCUUCGGGUUGUAAACUGCUUUUGUACGGAACGAAACGGCCCUUUCUAAUACAGGGGGCUAAUGACGGUACCGUAAGAAUAAGCACCGGCUAACUACGUGCCAGCCGCCGCGGUAAAAC
rnacentral:rRNA from 1 species